GACGAACGCUGGCGGCGUGCUUAACACAUGCAAGUCGAACGGAAAGGCCCUGCUUUUGUGGGGUGCUCGAGUGGCGAACGGGUGAGUAACACGUGAGUAACCUGCCCUUGUCUUUGGGAUAACUUCAGGAAACUGGGGCUAAUACCGGAUAGGAGCUCCUGCUGCAUGGUGGGGGUUGGAAAGUUUCGGCGGUUGGGGAUGGACUCGCGGCUUAUCAGCUUGUUGGUGGGGUAGUGGUUUACCAAGGCUGUGACGGGUAGCCGGCCUGAGAGGGGGAACGGGGACAAGGGGACUAGGAUACGGCCCAGAAGCCUACGGGAGGCAGCAGUGGAGAGUAUUGCAGAAUGGGCGGAAGCCUGAUGCAGAGACGCCGCGUGCGGGAUGACGGCCUUCGAGUUGUAAACCGCUUUCGCCUGUGACGAAGAGCGAGUGACGGUAAUGGGUAAAGAAGCACCGGCUAACUACGUG
rnacentral:rRNA from 1 species